CUAGCGGCGAACGGUCGCGUAACACGUAAGCAACCUGCCCGAAAGACCGGGACAACACUCCGAAAGGGGUGCUAAUACCGGAUGUGCCCAUCACCUUCACAUGGAGGGGUGAGUAAAACCUCGUAAGGGGGCUUUUGGAGGGGCUUGCGGCCUAUCAGGUAGUUGGCGGGGUAACGGCCCACCAAGCCAUCGACGGGUAGCUGGUCUGAGAGGAUGGUCAGCCGGACUGGGACUGAGAUACGGCCCAG
rnacentral:rRNA from 1 species